GACGAACGCUGGCGGCGUGCUUAACACAUGCAAGUCGAACGAAGUGGCGAACGGGUGAGUAACGCGUAAUCAACCUGCCCUUCAGAGGGGGACAAAAGUUGAAAACGACUGCUAAUCCCGCAAACUGAGGGGGGUGAUUGCGUCUGAUUAGCAAGGUGGCGGGGUAACGGCCCACCAAGGCGAUGAUCAGUAGCCGGGCUGAGAGGAUGAACGGCCACAAUGGGACUGAGACACGGCCCAGACUCCUACGGGAGGCAGCAGUGGGGAAUCUUCCGCAAUGGACGAAAGUCUGACGGAGCAACGCCGCGUGAGUGAUGACGGCCUUCGGGUUGUAAAGCUCUGUUAAUCGGGACGCGGUACCGAAAUAGAAAGCCACGGCUAACUACGUGCCAGCAGCCGCGGUAAUUC
rnacentral:rRNA from 1 species